UACAGAGGGGGCAAGCGUUGUUCGGAAUUACUGGGCGUAAAGGGCGCGUAGGCGGCCCGCUAAGUCGAACGUGAAAUCCCCGAGCUCAACUCGGGAACUGCGUCCGAUACUGGCGGGCUUGAAUCCGGGAGAGGGAUGCGGAAUUCCAGGUGUAGCGGUGAAAUGCGUAGAUAUCUGGAGGAACACCGGUGGCGAAGGCGGCAUCCUGGACCGGCAUUGACGCUGAGGCGCGAAAGCUAGGGGAGAAAACGGG
rnacentral:rRNA from 1 species